rnacentral:rRNA from 1 species
GACGAACGCUGGCGGCGUGCCUAAUACAUGCAAGUAGAACGCACAGUUUAUACCGUAGCUUGCUACACCAUAGACUGUGAGUUGCGAACGGGUGAGUAACGCGUAGGUAACCUGCCUGGUAGCGGGGGAUAACUAUUGGAAACGAUAGCUAAUACCGCAUAAUAUUGAUUAUUGCAUGAUAAUUGAUUGAAAGAUGCUAUUGCAUCACUACCAGAUGGACCUGCGUUGUAUUAGCUAGUAGGUGAGGUAACGGCUCGCCUAGGCGACGAUACAUAGCCGACCUGAGAGGGUGAUCGGCCACACUGGGACUGAGACACGGCCCAGACUCCUACGGGAGGCAGCAGUAGGGAAUCUUCGGCAAUGGACGAAAGUCUGACCGAGCAACGCCGCGUGAGUGAAGAAGGUUUUCGGAUCGUAAAGCUCUGUUGUAAGAGAAGAACGGGUGUGAGAGUGGAAAGUUCACACUGUGACGGUAUCUUACCAGAAAGGGACGGCUAACUACGU